rnacentral:lncRNA from 1 species
CGCCUAUGCAAAGAAAUUGUCUUAUUUCUAUUCCAUUUCAUCAGCACCGAUUACUGAUUCGGUGUUUAAGGAAACGCUCAAUACAAAGACGCUCCCCACUUUGCCCUCUCCCCUUCUCCCACUUUCUCACUUGAAAAAAGCAGACGGACAAUCCUUCAUCGCAGGGUCAGGUAAAACAUUUUCUCCCUCUGUUCCUUCCAUAUUCCUCUCUUCCAAAUUUUCAGCCAUCUUUUUUCUGCUUUCUUUUUUUUCUCUCAAUAGAGUUUUCUUUUCCUCUCUUCCGUUUCUUUUUCUUGAUCAGUAAAAUUCCAUCUAUUGCUGGAAAGAGCAAGAGGGUUCUUAGAGGGGGAAUUGAAAUCUAAAUCGAAAACCAAAAAUGUUGAGGGUAAACCGAGUGAUAAACAGGGCACAAGCUUCGAUUUCAUUUAGUCAAUACCUUCUAAGACAUGACCCAAAGAUUUCCCCUUCACCUCCUCAACAUUUUGCUUCAAAAUCAUCCAUUCGAUUCUUUGAUAUUUACACGGCAAUUCCUCCAUUUCCCCCUUUUUAACUCUAAAAUAUUUGAUUUUUUAAGUUAUAGUUCUUUUUAACUUUUUGUCUUGUGUGUGCAGCUUGCAAGCAAGGAAAAAAUGGAGAAAGAACGAGCAAGACUAUAAGUUUAACCUUUGUUUGUUUAUUGAAAUUUUGUUACGUUCUCUUUUUUCCAUGAAAUUUAAUAUAAAUAAUUGUUUUAAUUUGAUUUAGGGCAGUGCUGAUGAAUUGAAUAAAGGAUAUUUUGAUGAUAUGUCUGAGCUAAAACAACAUGGUGGUAAGGUAUUAACUGAUUUGUUCUUUUUAUAUAGAUAUAGGCUAUAUCAUUUGCAAAUCUGUUCAAAUUAGUUGAAUUGCAACUGAUUUUUGAGUGAAAUUAAUGUUACUUUCUGUCAACAUUUUAAUUGUUAGUUUUUUUUUCUGGGCAAAUUGCACUGGUAAAUAAGAUUCUAAUUCCCGGAAUUGCAGCCAGGAAGUUUCAUGCCAUGGAUGUUAUAUAUUCUGAUGGUAGAAAAUCAAAGUUGUCGAUUGUUUUUUAUGCUAGCAAGUUGUUAGUUGUUAGUGUUUUUAAAUAAAGCAACAUGUUAGUGAGUUUUUCACAACCCCUCUGGCAGCUGCUUUAUUAGUUUGUGUUAUAAAAAUGAUUUUGUCUUUAUUGAACAAAAUGUUGAUUUAUUUAUACGUUUGUUUUUUUUUACUUCUCUCAGGAAUUUGGUCAAAAUUUGUUGUGAAGUUGAAGUAAAAACCAAGCUAUAUGCAUGCAUAAGCCUUGCCUGCACUGCUUUCGGAGGUUUUUAGUAUGUACCCUUUUUUUAUGUGUUCUUUUUGUAGACUUUGGACUAAAUUUUAAAUUUGAGUGACUGUAUAAGUGAUUGUGUCUGAAUUUGUUUAUGUUUGAAUACUGAAAAACAUAUGAAUGUUUUAAACUCUGCUAUUUGACUCUCGCAUGCUCUCUUUUAGUGCUUUAACAUGGUCUACUUAUUAUUUUAGGUUAAUGUUCAAAUCGAUAGUACCUUAGUAGGUUUAAAUGGAUUAUGCUGUUUAUCUAUUUUUGAGUGUGGGUGCAUCAUUCAGAUUUUCUGUAUCAGCUUUAGAAAGAGUUUAGAGAUGUCCUUUAAUGCCUGAACAAGUGAGAUCUAUGGUCUGUAUGAAUUUCAAAGUUUUCAGGCUCCUGGUGCAUUACCUAAAUUUGAGAGCCCCUUUGACUAGACAGUUCUGGCUCAUAUGAUUCGAUUUAUAUUUUACUUCUGUAGAAUCUUGAUUCUAGUCAUAUUUUUUUGAAUGUCAGCAUGAUAAUGUGAUUGUACUUCUGUUCUAGUAUGUUAACAUGUUUAAUUAUCUCAUCUUUCUGUUCUGUUCUAGCUGUUUCUUUUCACUCUCUAAUUUUUCCAUGCAUAUAUUAUAAAAUGGAUUUGUUAUUAAUACAGAAUGAUACAAGCUCUACUGGAUAGACUUGUUCCUUUGCUUCUUCAGCAACUAGUGCAAGAUUACAGCAACUGGGUUCAACUCCAAAAGCAGUUGAUAAAUUAGCUUCUUUGUUCAUAUCAGCUAGUAAGCCUUUCACCUGUUAACUGUUUUAUUUUCCCUAAUUUGUGUUUCUUUGUCUCAGUUAAGUCCAUGAUGAUAAACCAUAUUCUUUUUAAUCUGAAUCAAUGACAACCGGUUUUAAUCUGAGAAAAGAGUAGGGAGGGGAGGGGGAAUAGCAUAUUCAGACAUAUUGGCUGGGGCUGGCUAUUUAACAAAUUAACGAUCAUAUUCGCCAAAUGUAGCUGUAUUUUGUUCUGUCAUAUUAAAAGUGAUGUAAUGAAGGAUGUUAACCUGCCACUGCUAGCAAUAGUAUUCGUUUUAAUUACCUUAAAUAAUGAUUUUCUUUUCUUGGAUGUUCUAACCUUGCCUUUGUGUUAAAUUACUAAUAACAGGUAAACUAGCAAAUGCAAGGCCGGGUAACUCAAUAAAUUUGAUAUUUCAGCAAAGAAGGCAUUGUUGAGAUUCAACAGAGAAGGCAUUGUUGAGAUUCGCAAACUCAAUAAAUUUUGACAUAUUUGGUUAGAAAGAGUUGGAAUCUUUAUCGCAAUAUGGGUUAAGUUUUGACAUCAUUUUAUUAUGAUUUUGGAUUGUCCCCAAUUGGUCUCUUUGGAAAUAGAGGAGAUAUUGCAACUUGACAAGAUUUCGAGUGUUGAAUAAAUAGAAAUAAAAUGUUUGUGCCUUUUGUUUUCGAUGCUUCAGUGAUCCUAAUACCAAUGGAUAAGUAGAAAAAUAAAAAUUUCAGACAAUUUAUAUAAUUUUAUUAUGUUGGUACCAAAUUUCAGACUAUUUAUACAAAGGUUUCAGCAAUACUAAUACCAAUGGUGGACAAGUAGAAAAAUAAAAAGAUAACACUUUU